GGCAUGUCGGGCCCCAGGCCUGUGGUGCUGAGCGGGCCUUCGGGAGCUGGGAAGAGCACCCUGCUGAAGAGGCUGUUCCAGGAGCACAGCGGCAUCUUUGGCUUCAGCGUGUCCCGUGAGUCCAGGGCUCUUGUGGAGGGGUGUGUAGACCUCAAGGCUUCUGAGUAGUCCUAGCACCGUGAGCAGGCCAGGAGCCCGAACCCAACAGGCACACCCACCCUGCAGACUGUCCGAACUCUUGCACACUCCCCCCAACACAGAACCGGAGGUUAUUGCACUCCUGCUGUCCUGCGUGCCUGUGUCUCCCUUCCCUGGGUCUGUUGAGUACUGAUAACUGGGCUGCAGCGUCUCUUUCUGGGAGAACCCUCACCUUGUAGGCUCCUGCGCCUUUCCAGCGGUGUGCUCCACUGGCUGCCUGCAUCCUGGGGCUCAAGUGCUGUCGGGACUGCAAGGGAAAUGCUGGGUAGGGCAGUGGGCUUCGAGCAGCCCCCAAUGGGUGACAGGUCUCUCUGCUAGAUACCACAAGGAACCCGAGGCCCGGCGAGGAGAACGGCAAAGAUUACUACUUUGUAACCAGGGAGGUGAUGCAGCGUGACAUAGCAGCCGGCGACUUCAUCGAGCAUGCCGAGUUCUCGGGGAACCUGUAUGGCACGAGCAAGGCGGCGGUGCAGGCCGUGCAGGCCAUGAACCGCAUCUGCGUGCUGGACGUGGACCUGCAGGGUGUGCGGAACAUCAAG
rnacentral:sRNA from 1 species